rnacentral:tRNA from 1 species
GCCAGCGUAGCUCAGUCGGUAGAGCAGCGCACUCGUAACGCGCAGGUCGCCGGUUCGAUCCCGGCCGCUGGCUCCG